ACAGGCUUAACACAUGCAAGUCGAGGGGCAGCAUUUCAGUUUGCUUGCAAACUGGAGAUGGCGACCGGCGCACGGGUGAGUAACACGUAUCCAACCUGCCGAUAACUCGGGGAUAGCCUUUCGAAAGAAAGAUUAAUACCCGAUGGUAUAAUCAGACCGCAUGGUCUUGUUAUUAAAGAAUUUCGGUUAUCGAUGGGGAUGCGUUCCAUUAGGCAGUUGGUGAGGUAACGGCUCACCAAACCUUCGAUGGAUAGGGGUUCUGAGAGGAAGGUCCCCCACAUUGGAACUGAGACACGGUCCAAACUCCUACGGGAGGCAGCAGUGAGGAAUAUUGGUCAAUGGGCGCAGGCCUGAACCAGCCAAGUAGCGUGAAGGAUGACUGCCCUAUGGGUUGUAAACUUCUUUUAUAUGGGAAUAAAGUUUUCCACGUGUGUAAUUUUGUAUGUACCAUAUGAAUAAGGAUCGGCUAACUCCGUGCCAGCAGCCGCGGUAAUACGGAGGAUCCGAGCGUUAUCCGGAUUUAUUGGGUUUAAAGGGAGCGUAGGUGGACAGUUAAGUCAGUUGUGAAAGUUUGCGGCUCAACCGUAAAAUUGCAGUUGAUACUGGCUGUCUUGAGUACAGUAGAGGUGGGCGGAAUUCGUGGUGUAGCGGUGAAAUGCUUAGAUAUCACGAAGAACUCCGAUUGCGAAGGCAGCUCACUGGACUGCAACUGACACUGAUGCUCGAAAGUGUGGGUAUCAAACAGGAUUAGAUACCCUGGUAGUCCACACAGUAAACGAUGAAUACUCGCUGUUUGCGAUAUACAGUAAGCGGCCAAGCGAAAGCACUAAGUAUUCCACCUGGGGAGUACGCCGGCAACGGUGAAACUCAAAGGAAUUGACGGGGGCCCGCACAAGCGGAGGAACAUGUGGUUUAAUUCGAUGAUACGCGAGGAACCUUACCCGGGCUUAAAUUGCAUUUGAAUAUAUUGGAAACAGUAUAGUCGUAAGACAAAUGUGAAGGUGCUGCAUGGUUGUCGUCAGCUCGUGCCGUGAGGUGUCGGCUUAAGUGCCAUAACGAGCGCAACCCUUAUCUUUAGUUACUAACAGGUCAUGCUGAGGACUCUAGAGAGACUGCCGUCGUAAGAUGUGAGGAAGGUGGGGAUGACGUCAAAUCAGCACGGCCCUUACGUCCGGGGCUACACACGUGUUACAAUGGGGGGUACAGAAGGCAGCUACCUGGUGACAGGAUGCUAAUCCCAAAAGCCUCUCUCAGUUCGGAUCGAAGUCUGCAACCCGACUUCGUGAAGCUGGAUUCGCUAGUAAUCGCGCAUCAGCCAUGGCGCGGUGAAUACGUUCCCGGGCCUUGUACACACCGCCCGUCAAGCCAUGAAAGCCGGGGGUACCUGAAGUACGUAACCGCAAGGAGCGUCCUAGGGUAAAACUGGUAAUUGGGG
rnacentral:rRNA from 1 species